rnacentral:rRNA from 1 species
GACGAACGCUGGCGGCGUGCUUAACACAUGCAAGUCGAACGGAAAGGCCCUUCGGGGUACUCGAGUGGCGAACGGGUGAGUAACACGUGGGUGAUCUGCCCUGCACUUUGGGAUAAGCCUGGGAUACGAGGUCUAAUACCGGAUAGGACCACGCGCUUCAUGGUGUGUGGUGCAAAGAUUUUGCGGUGGGGGAUGGGACCGCGGCCUAUCAUAUUGUUGGUGGGGUAAUGGCCUACCAAGGCGACGACGGGUAGCCGGCCUGAGAGGGGGACCGGCCACACUGGGACUGAGAUACGGCCCAGACUCCUACGGGAGGCAGCAGUGGGGAAUAUUGCACAAUGGGCGCAAGCCUGAUGCAGCGACGCCGCGUGAGGGAUGACGGCCUUCGGGUUGUAAACCUCUUUCGCCAGGGACGAAGCGCAAGUGACGGUACCUGGAGAAGAAGGACCGGCCAACUACGUGCCAGCCGCCGCAGUAA